CCUCACUGGCUCUGGCUCAGUCCAACUGCUACUGUCAGACAAAAUGAAAACAGGAACCACCACAGCUAAUGGCAGGUGCUGCACCACCACAGCUGAGGAAAAAAAGAGGGAUGAUUUUUUUACUUCUCUUUUCUUUUCCUUUUCUUUUUUUCUUUUUUUUUUUUAAUAGGCAUGUGACUGUAUUGAUUUGAAAAUAUUUAGUUUUUUAAUGUUAUUAUAGCUCUCAUAUCCACAGACGCUUGCUAAGCCACUGCUGUUUUUGAGCAUAUUUAUUCUGUCCACCUUAUGUAGCCUUCUUUGUUCCUUUUUACUUACAUUCAGGAAACAUAAUGCAGCAAACAAGCCUUGGAACAGGUCUGAUACCAUCCAGAUUUGAUAAAGGAUGAUAUUGUAAAGAUCCAGUCCUGUCACGCAUGUUGAGGCAAAACUCCCUACUGGGUGGUGCCCAAUGAGAAUCUCCCAAAUUCCAGUCUUGUGUUUGUACUGGGGGUGAAGCAAGUUGGCUGUUCAAGUGCCCCUGAACUCAGUGCACCUGCUUAACUAAUUCUCAUCUUUUUUUUUUAAAGUAUAACCUUCAGUUUUGGGUGAAGGAUCCAAAACCUUCCAAGAGCCCUAAAAUGACCAGCUAUUAUCUGAGUGGAAGCUAUACUGCUGAAUGCAGCAGGAAAAGUGCAACAUUUACAAAGAGGAGGGAGUGAACAGGGUGGGGUGUGUUUGGGAGCCAUCCUUAUGGAGAGGAAUUAAAUAAACUCACUCAUUUUGUGGUAUGAAUUUCCACAGUAGGAAAGUAUGGCUUACUUCUGAAUAUCAGUUUCUGAAAGAAAGGGCUUGUGGAAGUAUAGAUGUAUUGCUUCUACACUUGCUGGUGUCUGAGCAUGUGUGGAGUCUUCCUUGACAUCAGCAAAUAAAAUUGUUUCUCGCUGUUCAACAAUAAAUGUUCAAGUAACCCCAUUAUUGUCACUUCAGUGUUCUGUAAAUUGGACACGAUCAACACAUGCAGUGUAACCUUUCUGAAAGAAAUAUCGAUGCAGUCCAGCUACAGAAGACAUUGUAUAGCAAAACCAAAUUGGGAUCAAUAGAAAAUCCAGAUUUUCAAAUGCAUUUAUGGCAGGAGUUGCUAAGCCUGGCAGGUUGCAGAUCAGCAGCACACUUGUUGGCCACAUCAGUCUUCAUAAGAGUGACAGGUUUGACUAGAUUCUUAGAGACAGGCUGAUUCAGAAAUUCAGUCAAAAUAAGAUCUUUCUGCCAAUUUGCAAUAUCACAUUCACAAUCCAUUCCAGAUUCAUCAAAGGUAAGGACAAAAGGACUUAAUAUUUUAAUCCCCUCUGAGAAAAUGAAUAAGGAAAUGAUGUCUGCAAAAAGUGUGAUAUUUUUUCUUGAAAAACAAGAGUGGAGAACUAUUAGUGAAGCUGACUACCAUGAAUAUUGUGUGUCAGACCUUUCAAAUCCCAGGCAAUUGGCAUGCAAGGGAAUUACUGUCAACAUUCAAGGGCAAGUGAAAGGAUAAAACAAAUCUAUUUGGUAAAGUUUCUGGUUUAGACAAGUCCAAUUUGUUUAUACUUGUUCUUCACUUCUGUAUCACAUUCAUAAAGUUGUCAUUUGUAAAGGUUUUUAAAUGUUCCUUCAAAGACACACUUUUUUCUUUCUUUCUUUCUUUUUCCUUGUCUUCCUUAAGUCUUUCUUGUUAUCCUGAUUCAUUGUGAUGCUAUUGGGGGUCAGAGGAAUGGGAAUUUUGUUCUGGUCACCGUGCAGUCCACACCAAGCAAAUUGUCAAGGAAACCAUGGUUAAUUUAUAAGAGGUUUUAAUGAUAACUUUUCUCUGCUUUUCCACCUCUUUCAGUAUAGACUUGAAAAGUUUACUUGAAAUUCAGAAUGCUGCAGCUAAUGAAUGAAUUACAGUGGAAUGGUUGCUGGAAGUUGUCCAGGAGAAGUAUAACCAAAAUCUCGUAUGUAAUCCUCAUCAGUUUAAAAUUUGUGCAGUUCUAGAGCUGUGUAGAGUCACAUGGAGGCACAAACAGUAACCAAAUACCAAGUGUUGUAAUGAAGAUCCUUCACCUUUCUGCAAGCUUGCAAUUACAUCUUUGAGAGCUUUGAUCACAGGGAACUUGCAUCUAAGCAUGCCUGUCUAGCACUUAGUUGUCCAGGCCAUGUUACUCUACCUGAUGUAGAAAACUGUCACAGAAAACAGUGGCAGAAUGCUUAGCUUCAGUCUCUCUGCUUCUGUGACUUCAGCAAGCUUAUCCUUCUUCAGCUUGCAAAUUAACAGGCCUGAUUCUCCACUCAACCUGUAGCAGAUUUCCUAAAAGGCACCAUCAACAGAGCUGGCUUCUUCCUUCUUUAUGGACCAAAGUACAUUCUAAACUAACUCCCUGAAUGUCACUCAAGGACUGAUACUGAUUGGAUC